ensembl:lncRNA
AUUACUUUUGAGCCUGUGAAAAUGGAAGCGGGGAACAAAACGGCUGUGAUUCGUUAAACGUUUAAUGCAAUAUUUUUGUUAAACCCCUUGAAUUAAAGCGGAAAGUCUACACACGUCGAUCCCAUCUCGAUCGCUUCGUUUCAAAUCCAUUGUGGUGGUGUACAGAGGCAAAAGGAUGAAAAUUGUUACUGUCCAAAUACUUACGGAUCUAGAGCCGUAGUACAGUCAGAUCCGUGUCAUUUCGUGCCGUCUGGUCAUUAGAGCGACAACGUACUCUAGGCUGCGAUUAUAUAGUAUACAUGAUAGUGCUAUUGAUAUGGAAGCAUCAUACUUUAUUGUUUAGUAUUCUCCAGUAUUUUGUCUUGCCCAUUUCAGGCCAUUGGAAAACUAAAGCCAGUAUGUUUUAUUCCAAGAACCUUCAUCGCAGAGCCAAAUCCCCAGGUGAAGCUCUGAUGUUCAACUAAUCUUGACUAUUUUUACAGGCAAUGAGUACGAUUUUAAUUUAUUGAUUUUAUUUACACGUGGCCAAAUCAGUGCAAGAGCAUGAAAGCCCGGAGUUUUUUUCACAGCUGUGAUCAUAAUCCCUCCUCUGCGGGCGUUAAAGCCGGUUCUCAGUCCCAGUCUGAUGAAACCCGAUGCAGGUUUUGUGUUAGCAGUGUUCUAGCACACAAGAAUCUUUCUAAAAGUACCUUUUCAGCUGCGUGUGUUCGCGAAACUGAAAGCCAGACAUGUGCAGUUCCAUCGUUGGUUUAGAUACAAGGGAUAAAAGUCCUGCUGAGUCAUUCCCUCAUAGUGAGGGUUUUUGGUGCCAUUAUUUCUUCCCCAGUUCCCAAAAUCUUAUCUGAUAGACCGACUUUUGCUGUAAUAAUCAAAGUUUACGUUACUAGUGAAAGUCUGAGCAUCAAUGGAACUCACUAGGGUGACACUUUAUUCGAGAAGCUGCCUCAUAAGACUGAUAUAACCAAAUCGUGAUUGUAGUAAGUAAUCGAGUGUCAUGUGAUCACUCCAGGUCACCAUACUAGCAAGCCGCAAAGUGACAGGCGGUCGUUCGUUUUCUACGUACGUGUGAUUUCUCAAUUCUAUGCAAAUUAGGCAUGACACUGUAAAGAAGCGACAAAUCCAAACGAUUGGCUCGAACGAUUCCUCGGACCGAUCCUGCGGUGCUUGAGGGCCGACGUUCCUUCAGUUCCGCUACUCGUAACUCAGUUCCUAGCGGCAAUUUGUUUGCUUGAUGAGUGAAAAUCGAAGAACGGUCUACAAAAAAAAACUUAUCUAGGUGUAUAUACGACCUCUAAAUAAAUGUGGAUAGAGAUAUUAUGGAAAAUAACAUUUGGAAGGAUGUAGCGGAGAUCAUCGGUGCCUCGUGCAAGUGAAUGCAGCUAGUACAGUUAGCUCGCGUCGCUAAUCUAAUCUGAAGCAGGAAGUCGAGCACGUAUAUUAUGUAAAACAUGCAGACGACCGAUUUUCACUGACUAGUGCAUUGUUUAAUUUGUGUUUUAACUAGUUAGCUUCAUAAACUAUAAAUAGCUACUACUGAUUUUCAAUAGAACUUUAAAAAAGAAACAUUUUUAAAAGCUGGACAGGCCACGCCCACAGGCAACAAACUAUAAGUGUGACUUGUUGGGUAAAUGUCAUGAAAGCUCACAUAAUGUUAAGGCACUUUAUAUCAGAUGUUAAUUUUUGCUAACAUAGAGUUGGUAAAAAACUGUCACAACGUUUCGCAGCACAAGUGCAGGAAAUACUCGUCGCUGAUUGGGUGACGUUUAGCUAUACGCUAAUCAUUCUCUCUAGUUCACUUAUUUUAUAACAGAACGGUCAUAAUAUAUUUCGUACGAUAUUCUACCAGGAAAAUACUCCUUUCUGAUUGGCUGUCAGUUGUGUGUGUUGUUGUUGUUAUUAUUAUUAUUAUUAUUAUUAAAACAACAACAAUUACUAUGUGCCGCAUUCUAAUCUUUGCUAAUUGUUCUUUGGCUACGACGUGUACAAGAACUGUCAUAGCAUUGUAUACCAUGAAUACAGUGUCCGUUUUAUUUUGUCACGCAACGACAGUUUAUGUUCCAUGCUAAUUCUUACUGCUUUACUUAGCGUAAGACGAAUGUCGAUGUAGUCGUUUCUGAUUGGCUGCCUGGUGACAGGAUGCAUCAUAAAGCUUUAAUCUAUCAGAAAUCCUGUAUUAAUACUAAUCGUAUGCGAAAAAAAUAGCAUGUGACGUAAGCUGUCGUGACAAUUCCCGGAGAAUGUGAACGUGACACUGGUAUGUUAUGCCACGUUUAUGAUGUUUGACACCCACUUGUAUGUUUUUGUAUGAUUUAUUUAUUUACGGAAUUGUUCAAAUGGAGUAUUUUUCUUCCAUCUUAUUCUGCCUUCUGUGGCGUUAAACGGCGCAGAACUUUCGGAACACCGGACCUAGGGUUUACGGCGAGAUCGUAACGUCGUUCAUGCGUCAUUUUACUUUUAUUUGUCCUCAGCUGUGUGAAACGUGAAAGCUCGGAGAAGCAUCAACAUCCAUCUUGAGUGGGAUUAUUUUUUUUUUCCCCGACAAUCAUUAAGGAAACGGCUGCCAAGGACUUUCAGAAGGAACCCAAUUUUGUUUGCUGCUUCGUCCCGACACCUACGACGGCAAUUCCAAAAAAGUUGGGACGCUGUGUAGAAUGUAAAUAAAAACAGAACGUGACGAUUUGCAAAUCUCAUCAACCCGCAUGUUAUUCAUAAUAGAACAUAGAAAACAUAUCAGAUGUUUAAACUGAGGAAAUGGACCGUUUUAAGGAAAAAAAAUAGGGUCAUUUUUAAUUCGAUGGCCGCAACACGUUGCAAAAAAGUUAGGACGGGGUCAAUGAAAGGCUGGAAAAGUAAGUGUUAGUAAAAAGAAAGAGCUGGAGGUUCAUUGGGAACAGGUCAGUAAGAUGAUUGGGGUUAAAAAGAGGAUCUGAAAGAGGCAGAGUCUUUCAGAAGUAAAGAUGGGCGGAGAUUCACCAAUCUGCGAAAAACUGCGUCUACAAUCUGUGGAAUAAUUUCAGAAUAAUGUUCCUUGAAGUAAAAUUGCAAAGGCGAUGAAUAUUUAAUCAUCUAUGGUACAUAAUAUGAAAAGAUUCAGAGAAUCUGGAGAAAUCUCUCUGCACAAGGGACGAGGGUGAAAAUCAAUACUGCAUGCCUCGUGAUCUUCGAGCCCUCAGGAGCCACGGCAUUAAAAACAGGCCUGAUUCUGUAAUGGAAAUCACUCCAUGGGAUCAGAAACACCUCCAGAACUCAUUGUCUGUGAACACAGUUCUCCGUGCCAUCCAUCAUACAAAGAAGAAGCAAUAUGUGAACACGAUCCAGAAAUGCAGUCUUCUCCGGGCCAAAGCUCAUUUAAAAUGGACCGAGCCAUGGUGGAAAACUGUUCUGUGGUCAGACCAAUCGAAAUUUGAAAUUCUUUUUGGAAACCAUUGACGCCGCGUCCUCUAAACUAAAGAGGAGAGGGACCAUCCGGCUUUUUAUCAGCACUCGGCUCAAAAGCCUGAUGAUAUGGGGGUGCAUUAGUGCCUACGGAAUGGGCCGUUUGCACAUCUGGAAAGGCACCAUCAAUGCCGAAAGGGGUGUGUGUGUGUGUAUACACACACACACACAUGGUUUUAGUAUGGUUUUAGAGCACCACAUUCUUCCAUCCAGAUUCCAUCCCAUCUGUACUUCUGAGAGACUCUGCCUCACUAAGAUCCUCUUUUUAUACCAACCAUGUUACUCACCUGUUCCCAAUUAACCUAAUUACUUACAAAAUGUUCCUCCAGCUGUUUCCUUUAACUAACCCUUUCUUCCCAGCGUUUCGUCAACCCCCAACGUGCUUCCGCCAACCCCCCCCCAAAAAACGGUCCAUUUUCACAGUUUGAUAUGUUUUCUGUGUCCGGUUGUGAAUAACACACGGGUAUAUGAGAUUUGCAAAUCGUUGCGUUCAGUUUUUAUUUACGUUCUACACAGCGUCCCAACGUUUUUCGUGUUGUUGUUUUUUCAGUCUAGAUUGUUGUGAACAUGGGGUGUGUGGGUGGGGGAGGGGGUGUGUGGGUGUUUGCAGUCUCCCUCAUCAUCCAUGCCGAGUUUUGUAAAAGUGAACCAACCGUAGCCCUUUUUCUCGAGACACCAACUAACUGUAGCUGGAAGAAGAAGAAGAAAAAAAAGCAGGAAAAAAAAAAGAAAACUGUUCUUUCUUUGUUGUGUUUUGUUGUUUUUUUUCUAAACAAAACUGUUAUAUACAUUUGUGCCUGAAAACUGAGAAAUGGUAUCUAUUAUUACGGAAACAUACUGUUAAACAAGCAGCUUUUAUUACACACGGGGCACUGAGGGUCAUUCUUAUAGCAAACUAUCUUUUCCUGUAUCUAUCAAUUACUAUAGUAAUGUUGAUUAUUCCAGACGGAUGUUGUUACUACAGUAUACUCUGUACAUUCACAAGCAGACGAAUAUAUAUUUAAGUGAAAAAGAAAAGAGACCAGAAGUGCUCGGCUCGUAUCUGUCAUGAACACUUGUGGGUUGUUUUUGUUUUUUAAUUAUUUUAUUUUUUUAUUAUUAUUAUUUUAUUUUUUUUAAGGUGCCCUUCAUCAUGUACAGACGUACAAAUGUAAAUAUCCAAACGUACAGUGUGUAUCCUGAGGUUCAAACAGAGGGAAAGAUGUGUAUUAUUUAUGAAGACACAAAUUAUUUUGUUAAAUAGACUGAAAAAGUUGUAUCCAGAAAAAAAAGCGUGCACGUGUGGUGAUUUAUUCCGGGUGUUGUUGUUUGGGAAGCAGAUCUCACACAUAUACACACACACACACGAAAAACUCUAAUGUCCUGAAUAUGGUGGAAAACUUUCCGACUGUUCCAAAAAAAAAAAAAAAAAAAAAACGCUGAAACUGGAGACUCCUUUCAUAAAUGUUAAUAAACAACUCCUUACAGAAAUCUACACUAUUUAUAAUCACAGAUUAUACUUUUUUUUUUCUUUGUUAAACAACAUUGUGUUUUCUAUUGUUAUUGGUAGUCUUGGAUUGUGUCGAGCGUCCGUCAUGCACGUCCCUGUGAUAGAGCUGUUACUAUGGAAACGAGUGAGAAUUGUUAAUACAGAAUAAACCCGCUGUUAUAUACAGUCAGAAUCUACAAUACAGAAAUGCGGUGGUAGGAUGAACAUUUCAUGCAUCAUUUAACGCCUUAAACUCUCAGCAUAUUGUUUGGUCAGUUAUCUUCAAGCAUGUUGUUCUGUAACCAAAAAGAUACUUCUGGAGUUUGGCGAGUUUGGUGGAGUGUUGAAAGUGAAAUCCCUUUAGAUUCCAUACAUCUCUUGGUCUUGAAUUCCCAAUAGAUUCAUUUCUUCUACAGGUCUCGAAUUUCCAAUAGUUUCCAUUCUUCUACAGAUUUUGCCAUCCCCUUAGAUACCAUACUCCUCCAGGUCUCGAAAUCCUUUUAGCUUCCAUUCUUCUCCAGGUUUUGAAAUCUCUUUACAUUCCAUUCUUCUCCAGGUCUCCAAUUCCCUCUGCAUUCCAUUCUUCUCCAGGUCUCAAAUUCCCUCUACAUUCCAUUCUUCUCCAGGUCUCAAAUUCCAUUUCCAUUCCAUUCUUCUCCAGGUCUCCAAUUCCCUCUACAUUCCAUUCUUCUCCAGGUCUCCAAUUCCCUUUAGAUUCCAUUCUUCUCCAGGUCUCCAAUUCCCUCUACAUUUCAUUCUUCUCCAGGUCUCCAAUUCCCUCUACAUUUCAUUCUUCUCCAGGGUCUCCAAUUCCCUCUACAUUUCAUUCUUCUCCAGGGUCUCCAAUUCCCUCUACAUUUCAUUCUUCUCCAGGUCUCCAAUUCCCUCUACAUUCCAUUCUUCUCCAGGUCUCCAAUUCCAUUUCCAUUCCGUUCUUCUCCGGGUCUCGAAUUCCCUUUAGAUUCCAUAGUUCUCCAGGUCUCGAAUUCCCUCUACAUUCCAUUCUUCUCCAGGUCUCCAAUUCCCUUUAGAUUCCAUUCUUCUCCAGGUCUCAAAUUCCCUCUACAUUACAUUCUUCUCCAGGUCUCCAAUUCCCUUUAGAUUCCAUAGUUCUCCAGGUCUCCAAUUCCCUCUACAUUCCAUUCUUCUCCAG